rnacentral:lncRNA from 1 species
CCCGCCUCGGCCUCCCAAAGUGCUGGGAUUACAGGCGUGAGCCACUGCGCUCAGCCUCCCUUUUUUUUUUUAAGCCAGAAUCCCAGAUCUUAUAGAGAAUUUCCCAAUUUUUUUUUUUUUUUUUUUUUGAGACAGGGUUACACUGUCACCCAGGCUGGAGUACAGUGGCAUGAUCUCGGCUCACUGCACCCUCCUCCUUCUGGGUUCAAGUGAUCCUCCCACCUCAGUCUCCUGAGUGCAGGGACUACAGGCUUGCGCCACCAUGCCCAGCUAAUUGUUCAUUUUUGGGUAGAGAGGAGGUCUCACUAUGUUGCCAGGCUGGUCUCCAACUCCUAGGCUCAAGCGAUCCACCCACCUGAGCCUUCCAAAGUGCUGGGAUUACAGGUCUGAGCUACUGUGCCUGGCCCUCAGUGUUUUAAAACACGGCACCCGUGCUCAGCAAUGGCUGGGGAGUGUGUGAGUUGGAGGAUGUCUCCAGCCUGAGCCAAGUUGACCAUCCCAGUCUCCCACGCCUCUUCCUUCCUACAGAGCAGAGGUUUUCAACUGAUGUGGGGGUGAUUCUGCCCCCAGGAUGAGAACCUGCUGUGUUGGUGUUGGUGGCAGCGGUAGCCCAAGCGAAGACGGCAUUUCCUAGCUUUCCUCGCAUCCAGGAAGGAUCACAGGACCGGUUCUUGCCAAUGCACUAAGGGCGGAAGUGAUGUAUGUCACUUCCAGGAUUAAGUGGUUAAAAAGCAGGCGUGGUUCCCACCAUCAAGGUGCUGGCCAGAUAGGAAGGACAUCCAGAACUUACAGGGGGUGGCAGAGCCACCCCUGGAAAGAUCCUGGGUCCCAGUCACCUGAGCAGGGGCGCUGAUGUUGGAGCAGUGUAUCCCAAAGUUCAACAGAAGCUGCUGGUUUGUGUCCUUUGAGCAGUUGAUGUUCCAGCACCAGGCCUGGAGGCUUUCUCUCAGAACUUCAUGGGGAAGGUCAGGAGUGCCAGUGUUAAUUUCCCCAGGAGCAGCCCUCGGCCAAUGAGAGGUGAGAGUUGAAGAAUAAAUACCCCUGCUCCCUCGCCCCUUGGGUGAGAUAUCUCUGAAGUGUCGCUCCCACACCAUCUCCCAGAGGUCCUUCGUGGGGUUGAGCCCUGGCCAGCCUCAGUGGCAACCUGUUUAAAAACACAUCUUUCUCAACAUCCUUCCCUUUCCUGUCUUGCUUCCUCAUUCCCCAAUUUGUGCAGCUUUCUGGGUUCUUCUAAUAAACAAACUGCUUGUGCUGAGUUCUGUCUCAGGUUCUGUCUCCGUGGAAACCCAAUGCAAGAUAACAAAGUGUGGUUUGUCAGACAACCCACAGGGAGAAAAUCUUCACAAUCUAUACAUCCAACAAAGGAUAAAUACACAGAAUCUACAAG